GGGGGGAACGCUGGAUCCUGGGCUGUGUCCCUCGACGCCUUGGGCUCCAGGGCCUGCACUGCUGGAAUUGCACUCCCCGGGCUGCACAGCCCCCU
rnacentral:pre_miRNA from 1 species